CAAAUUCACCGGGGCAAACCCGCCAUGUAACAGAAACAUACAGUUAUCCUCUGUCUCUUCUUUAACCUUCUCCUUCCUUGGGAACAGAAGCAGCAGCAGAGACCUAAUCUGAACAGCAACGAUUGGUUCGGAAGAGAAUAUGGGUGUUUCUGUGACAGUUCCCAGAGUUGGGGGCCAUUGCAGACAGCUGAAUCUCAUGAUGUUGGGGAAGUGCCAACCUCCAUAACCCUGGACAAACCAACCGGCCUACCCAUCACCCUUUGAUAUCUCAACAUCAUCUUUGGAAAAUGGCUUCCCCAUUUACUCCUACUUGUCAGAAAAGUUACUACGGACGGGCAUCCUUCUGAGCUGUUUCUCUGCGUGUCUGCUGCGUAGCACGUUUCAAAUGUCCAGUUGGGGGUUCUAUCUACUGCCAAUCGCCUAUGCAGGGCGUCCAAAUUGGCGGUGUAGCCGC
rnacentral:sRNA from 1 species